rnacentral:rRNA from 1 species
GAUGAACGCUGGCGGCGUGCUUAACACAUGCAAGUCGAACGAUGAAGCCCAGCUUGCUGGGUGGAUUAGUGGCGAACGGGUGAGUAACACGUGAGUAACCUGCCCUUAACUCUGGGAUAAGCCUGGGAAACUGGGUCUAAUACCGUAUAGGAGCGUCCACCGCAUGGUGGGUGUUGGAAAGAUUUAUCGGUUUUGGAUGGACUCGCGGCCUAUCAGCUUGUUGGUGAGGUAAUGGCUCACCAAGGCGACGACGGGUAGCCGGCCUGAGAGGGUGACCGGCCACACUGGGACUGAGACACGGCCAAGACUCCUACGGGAGGAAGCAGUGGGGAAUAUUGCACAAUGGGCGCAAGCCUGAUGCAGCGACGCCGCGUGAGGGAUGACGGCCUUCGGGUUGUAAACCUCUUUCAGUAGGGAAGAAGCGAAAGUGACGGUACCUGCAGAAGAAGCACCGGCUAACUACGUG